GCCCAAGGCGCAACCAUUAUCAUAACCUCCAAACGGAUAGCCGUUUCCUCCCGUCUUUUCUACGCGAAAUUCACCUAUUUUAAGGACUUGAUGAGCAGAACAUGGAUUGCAGUGAAAGGACAUUAUGAUAGAUAUAGCAAAAUGUGCCCGAGUUGUAAAGCCAGAAAAAAAAAAGAGAAAUUUGAGGUACAAGGAACGUAUCAAUGCGUGAAUAACAAGAAUCGAAUAAAAACUUUUCAAACUGA